GUGUCAGCAGCCGCGGUAAUACGGAGGAUGCAAGCGUUAUCCGGAAUGAUUGGGCGUAAAGGGUCCGCAGGUGGCAUUGUAAGUCUGCUGUUAAAGAGUCUAGCUCAACUAGAUAAGAGCAGUGGAAACUACAAAGCUAGAGUACGUUCGGGGCAGAGGGAAUUCCUGGUGUAGCGGUGAAAUGCGUAGAUAUCAGGAAGAACACCGGUGGCGAAAGCGCUCUGCUAGGCCGUAACUGACACUGAGGGACGAAAGCUAGGGGAGCGAAUGGGAUUAGAUACCCUAGUAGUCC
rnacentral:rRNA from 1 species